AUAUAUACAUCACAUCCUUCACGCCCACAAUGGAAGUGGACACAUGUCAGUAUGGUUUAUGUGGUUCCCUUGACUUCCCACUCAACUUACUUAAGACGAAAAGAAAACCAUCAGCUCUUUUCACCACGCACAAACACCAACUUGACAGUCCUGUCUGAACCUUUCUACCUCAACUCUUGUGUUCACAAGAUUUGACUUCCUAGACAGAAGGUCCAUUGGAGGCUGCUUCUCCAGGUCAUAAAUUGUGUGAGUGUUCACUCUCAGAUUAGGAAAACUGUGUUGCUUAGCGGGACAUGUGACUAGGUCAGAAGUCUCUCAAUUUCGAUGUUCAAUGUCACAACCGGCCUUAGUUUCACUGUUAUUCAUCAACCACCUAAACAAUAAAAUUAAUAUGUAGAUCUGAAUGUGUCUCAUUCCUUACAUCUCUUUCUCAGUUGGUUCAGGACUUAGGCAGAGAAAACAAAAAUGGCAUAUUCGAUGCUCAGUCAAAUACCAAUAUAACAUAAACAAAGAAUAAUAAUGUGAUGGUUACUUAGAGAAAGGUUAAAUGAAGCUUUUUGUGGAGUUUCCAUAUAGACAUGACUUUCAAAAUGAAACUUAUAAAAAUAGUAAUAUGUGCUAGAUAGAAGAAAGUCAUAGGUAGAAAGCCU
rnacentral:lncRNA from 10 species